GGCAGACGGGUAGAGUAACACGUGGGAACGUGCCCUUCAGUUCGGAACAACCCAGGGAAACUUGGGCUAAUACCGGAUACGUCCGUAAGGAGAAAGAUUUAUCGCUGAAGGAUCGGCCCGCGUCUGAUUAGCUUGUUGGUGAGGUAACGGCUCACCAAGGCGACGAUCAGUAGCUGGUCUGAGAGGAUGAUCAGCCUCACUGGGACUGAGACACGGCCCAGACUCCUACGGGAGGCAGCAGUGGGGAAUAUUUGGACAAUGGGCGCAAGCCUGAUCCAGCCAUGCCGCGUGGGUGAUGAAGGCCUUAGGGUUGUAAAGCCCUUUCGGCGGGGAAGAUAAUGACGGUACCCGCAGAAGAAGCCCCGGGUUAACUUCGGUGCCAGCCGCCGCGG
rnacentral:rRNA from 1 species